GGUCAACCUAGGUUCCAGUCUAAAUUCACCCGCCGAUCAACGCUUGCGAAAUAAGCCGCGCGAAAUUCGAAUUCGACCGACUCCCAUUCGUAAACGGAAAGUGUCACGUGACUAGUUGAAACCAUGCGUUCCUAUAUCUUCAUUGCUCUGGUGGCGUCAUUUUUCGCUGCAACUUCGGCCCUCGGCUAUGGACUUCUAGGCGGUUACGGAGGCUACGGAGGUUAUGGUAAUGGAUACGGCGGAUAUGGUGGAUACGGCCAUGGUGGCUACGGAGGCUACGGGCAUGGAGGUUAUGGCGGAUACGGUCAUGGUGCAUACGGCGGCUAUCCACCAUACGGUGGUUAUGGACAUGGAGGAUACGGAGGCUAUGGCGGAUAUGGUGGCCAUGGAGGAUAUGGGGGAUAUGGGGGAUAUGGAGGUCCUUAUGGUGGUUAUGGAUAUGGUAAGUGACCUAACGUGGGUCAGUUACAAGGAAAAAUGAUGCUUCUAACAACAACUACAACAUGGUGCUAAGAUAGUUACCCCGGAAAGUAUGGCGGAUACGGUGGUUACGGGUAUCGGCCGUAUUACUAAAGCAAAAAACGUAGUAACGAAACCUCUCGACUGAUUGUGAUAUUGUUUAAAAUGUUAAUACAUUGUGUUUUAUUUCAAA